CUUAUGGGUAUGAAGUUGCCGGUGCUCAUGUAUUCUUCUUUAAAUUCUCUGCUGUAAAGAUCUAAUACCAUUCUCUGUCACCAGCAAUUCAGACAGAACUUUGUGCUCACACUGUAAGGGGAGAGAAGCUGAACUUUACUGCAAAAGUGUCACUCAUGUUUCUGAGCUGGAGACUCUUUUUGCACGACUAUGGACACAGUGCCAGGAGUGCCAGGGUUCACUUCAUCAAGAUGUUCUCUGCACAAGUCGGGAUUGCCCUAUAUUUUACAGGAGAAAGAAGGCACAAAAAGACAUGGGUGAAGCUAAAGUGCAAUUAGACAGGUGGAACUUCUGAGAUUCGCCUGAGAGAAUUCAGGAGCAAGAUAUAUACAUAAUACUCUCAAAAUGUUGAACAUCUCAUGGGGAAGAUAUUCUUGCUUGCUGCGGCAGAUUUUGGUCCGUCCUACUGGCUAAUGAAAUAGUGAGUAAAGAAUUGAAUCGAAGGUGGAGUCUCUCAGGAUGUUGUGAAACCAAGUACAAGUUUUCAAGAUCUCUACAUGCAAGUAUCACAGCACGAAAUGCACGAAUGACAUUCAUUGCAUUUUUGUAGUUGAGGUAGCCAGUGUCGAUGCCUUAUUUGCUGCUUGGUAUUAGUUUGCACCAACUCUUGAUGUUGUAUCUUGAUAGGGUUUUCAGUUUGUCUACCUUGUAUAUAUGUUAUGCCUCCUUGAACAUUAUUCAGUUUUCAUCGAUUCAGUUUUACUUUGUCUU